GAUGAACGCUGGCGGCGUGCCUAAUACAUGCAAGUCGAGCGAACGGACGAGAAGCUUGCUUCUCUGAUGUUAGCGGCGGACGGGUGAGUAACACGUGGAUAACCUACCUAUAAGACUGGGAUAACUUCGGGAAACCGCAGCUAAUACCGGAUAAUAUUUUGAACCGCAUGGUUCAAAAGUGAAAGACGGUCUUGCUGUCACUUAUAGAUGGAUCCGCGCUGCAUUAGCUAGUUGGUAAGGUAACGGCUUACCAAGGCAACGAUGCAUAGCCGACCUGAGAGGGUGAUCGGCCACACUGGAACUGAGACACGGUCCAGACUCCUACGGGAGGCAGCAGUAGGGAAUAUUCCGCAAUGGGCGAAAGCCUGACGGAGCAACGCCGCGUGAGUGAUGAAGGUCUUCGGAUCGUAAAACUCUGUUAUUAGGGAAGAACAUAUGUGUAAGUAACUGUGCACAUCUUGACGGUACCUAAUCAGAAAGCCACGGCUAACUACGUG
rnacentral:rRNA from 1 species